UAACGUUAUUUGGCAAGCUAGCUAGCUAGCUUACUUACACAUUUGUAUGCUCAAUAGUACCCGAUAUAGCACAGACUAUUUGAAAAUGAGAUUCAAAUAAACAAGUUAUAUAACAGUUUGCUAGCUACGCAAAUUCCAUUCCGUUCAUCUCCGCAUCUUUCCAUACCUACUUUCUUUACUCUACUUGUCCUUAGCUUACCUUACCGAC